rnacentral:rRNA from 1 species
AGCAGCCGCGGUAAUUCCAGCUCCAAUAGCGUAUAUUAAAGUUGUUGCAGUUAAAAAGCUCGUAGUUGAAUUUCGGGAUCAUCAGGUUGGUCGUGCCUCUGGUAUGUACUGAUUUCGAUGGUUCCUCCUUCUUGAAGAACCGUAAUGCCAUUAAUUUGGUGUUGCGGGGAAACAGGACUGUUACUUUGAAAAAAUUAGAGUGUUUAAAGCAGGCAAUCGCUUGAAUACAUUAGCAUGGAAUAAUGAAAUAGGACGUUCGAUCCUAUUUUGUUGGUUUCUAGGAUUGACGUAAUGAUUAAUAGGGAUAGCUGGGGGCAUUAGUAUUCAAUUGUCAGAGGUGAAAUUCUUGGAUUUAUUGAAGACUAACUACUGCGAAAGCAUUUGCCAAGGAUGUUUUCAUUAAUCAAGAACGAAAGUUAGGGGAUCGAAGACGAUCAGAUACCGUCGUAGUCUUAACCAUAAACUAUGCCGACUAGGGAUCGGAUGAUGUUAAUUUUUUAAUGACUCAUUCGGCGUCCG